rnacentral:lncRNA from 1 species
GCUUCUUACAUGUACAGUACUAGUCAAAAGAUUGCAUCUGAAGGAAAGUUUUAAUUUUUUUUCCAUUUUUGUUGAUCCUGCGACAAACAGCAAAAGUAGGCAAGAUACUAAGUUCUGGGAAACUCUUACAAUUUUUAAUUUAAAUACAUCGGUCACCUAUCUCCAGCUAGGAAUUGAAUUGAAGGCCACAUGAAUGAUUCGAUGAAGGCCACAUGAAUGAUUAUGAAUACGUAUUCG